rnacentral:rRNA from 1 species
UGGGGGAUAUUGCACAAUGGGCGAAAGCCUGAUGCAGCGACGCCGCGUGGGGGAUGAAGGCUUUCGGGUUGUAAACCUCUUUCGCUAUCGAACAAGGCUCGCUUAGGGUGGGUUGAGGGUAGGUGGAGAAGCAGCGCCGGCUAACUCCGUGCCAGCAGCCGCGGUAAUACGUAGGGGGCGAGCGUUGUCCGGAAUUAUUGGGCGUAAAGGGCUUGUAGGCGGUUUGUUGCGCCUGCUGUGAAAACGCUGGGCUUAACUUCGCGCGUGCAGUGGGUACGGGCAUGCUUGAGUGUGGUAGGGGUGACUGGAAUUCCAGGUGUAGCGGUGGAAUGCGCAGAUAUCUGGAGGAACACCGGUGGCGAAGGCAGGUCACUGGGCCAUUACUGACGCUGAGGAGCGAAAGCAUGGGUAGCGAACAGG